ACAUGCCUACAACAUAGUGUUAAUGCACUGAAUCCCAUUAGAACUCUGCAGUUAAGCACGCUCGUGCUAGAGCACUAUUGGGAUGGGUGACUACCUGGGAAGUCCUAAUGUGUUACAUGUG
rfam:Picea glauca, whole genome shotgun sequence.